CUCGAUCUUAGAAAAAAGGUUCUUUUCUUUGUGGUCAGGAGAAUGAAUUGCUAGCCAUUGGACAAUUCUUGUUUUGACAAAUGAUAUAUUAGGAAUUAGGUUAUGUCACGAGUAAGGAGAUGUUAUGUUGUGAAUGUGAAUCGAGGAUUUUCAUAAAAGAAGACAAGAAUGAUAUAAAAAGGAAUUAAUGUAUAUUGACAUGAGUGAAUUAUAACAAACAUUGGAUAAAGUAAAGAAUUAGAAAAUCACAUAUCUUUAAAAAAAUUGAAAUGAAUUUUUAAAUAUGGCAAUAUGAUUCAAUCAGAGUUUAGAAUUUUUUUUUUAUAUAAAAAGUAUACAUAAAAGUAAUGUGUAAGAUUGAUAGCUAAUUAUAAGUAUUUAGAAGAAAAAAGAAGUGAAAGUGAACAUGAGUCAUGUGUUUUAUCAGUGCAAAUCAAAAAGUGCAAAAAUUGAUAAAAGAGAAAUAUGAUUUCUUUAUUUUAAUUUAUAAAUUAAAAGAUGUUUAUAUAUUUUAAUUUUAUUUGAUUCUUUUAUUGAAUUACUAAUUAUAAUAUAUAAUUGUCGAAUAUAAAAAAGAUUAGUGACUGAAAAAAAAAGAGAAUCGAAAAUCGAAAUAAACAUAUCGAUAAUUUUUAUGGCGCGAAAAGUGGUGGGGAUAACUGCUAAAUCAGUAGUUCUCAAAAUGUCGUAGAUCAGCAGUCCUUUUCAAAAUCUCAAAACUUUUCAUUAUAAAAAAAAUUUAUAUAAUUUACAAGCUUGUAUACUUACCAAAACUUCUUCAAAACGAUCGUAAUUCUCAGGCCUAGUAUUUAGAAGGCUCUCGCCAACUGAAUCCGUGGCAUUGCUCAUCUGGCAGGAACCACGUAUGCCCAAAGCGCUGGACGUAAUAUGCAGCAAGGAUAGCACUGCCAAAAGUCCGGCUGGGGAUAUAAAAACAAAAGGGAAAUGUAUAACGGGAUAUUAAAAAUUAAAAAUUAACAAAAAUAAAUCUAGAUGCAAUUGGAUUCUUACACGAAUCAAAAUAAAUUAUCUUAAGUGAUGAAAAAUAGUGGUUUUUAAAUCUUGUCUUCAAUAUCAUAUAAUUCUCCUCUACAACUUAGGUAAGUUAUGUCUAUGAGUCGAUGAGUAUCCGCAGGGAGAAGCGACAGCUUUCAGGUGCUGCAUUAGAUUUAUGCAGAUCCGAACUUGUUUUCGUGAGUCCUUUGGGUGGAAACGUACUCACGAACAAGUUAAAAUGUAUCUUUUUAUUAAUGAUAGAGAUAACAUUAUAUCUAUAUAUUAUUUUGUUAAUUAGUCUUUAAAAUUUUAAAAUGCAACAAUUGUAUAUUUAGUCUAAUAUAAUUAAUUAUA